UCCGGUUUGUCACCGGCAGUAUGACUAAAGUGCCUAACUUAAUAAGGGCAACUAGUCACGAGGGUCGCGUUCGUUGCGGGACUUAACCCAACAUCUCACGACACGAACUGACGACAGCCAUGCAGCACCUGUGUGGGACCCAGCCUAACUGACACUCUUCUUUCAAAGAGCUCUAAUCCCCAUGUCAAAAGUUGGUAAGGUUCUGCGCGUAGCCUCGAAUUAAACCACAUACUCCACCGCUUGUGCGGAUCCCCGUCAAUUCCUUUGAGUUUUAAUCUUGCGACCGUACUCCCCAGGCGGAGUGCUUAUUGCGUUAGCUUUGAUACUGAAAGUCUAAAACUCCCAACAUCGAGCACUCAUCGUUUACAGCGUGGACUAC
rnacentral:misc_RNA from 1 species